rnacentral:rRNA from 2 species
GUCGAGCGGGACAGAUGGGAGCUUGCUCCCUGAUGUUAGCGGCGGACGGGUGAGUAACACGUGGGUAACCUGCCUGUAAGACUGGGAUAACUCCGGGAAACCGGGGCUAAUACCGGAUGGUUGUUUGAACCGCAUGGUUCAAACAUAAAAGGUGGCUUCGGCUACCACUUACAGAUGGACCCGCGGCGCAUUAGCUAGUUGGUGAGGUAAUGGCUCACCAAGGCAACGAUGCGUAGCCGACCUGAGAGGGUGAUCGGCCACACUGGGACUGAGACACGGCCCAGACUCCUACGGGAGGCAGCAGUAGGGAAUCUUCCGCAAUGGACGAAAGUCUGACGGAGCAACGCCGCGUGAGUGAUGAAGGUUUUCGGAUCGUAAAGCUCUGUUGUUAGGGAAGAACAAGUACCGUUCGAAUAGGGCGGUACCUUGACGGUACCUAACCAGAAAGCCACGGCUAACUACGUGCCAGCAGCCGCGGUAAUACGUAGGUGGCAAGCGUUGUCCGGAAUUAUUGGGCGUAAAGGGCUCGCAGGCGGUUUCUUAAGUCUGAUGUGAAAGCCCCCGGCUCAACCGGGGAGGGUCAUUGGAAACUGGGGAACUUGAGUGCAGAAGAGGAGAGUGGAAUUCCACGUGUAGCGGUGAAAUGCGUAGAGAUGUGGAGGAACACCAGUGGCGAAGGCGACUCUCUGGUCUGUAACUGACGCUGAGGAGCGAAAGCGUGGGGAGCGAACAGGAUUAGA